GAUGAACGCUAGCGGGAGGCUUAACACAUGCAAGUCGAGGGGCAUCACGAGGUAGCAAUACUUUGGUGGCGACCGGCGCACGGGUGAGUAACACGUAUGCAACCUUCCCUGUACAGGGGGAUAACCCGGAGAAAUUCGGACUAAUACCCCAUGAUGAUAUUAUGGGGCAUCCUUUAAUAUUUAAAGCUCUGGCGGUACAGGAUGGGCAUGCGCGACAUUAGCUAGUUGGUAAGGUAACGGCUUACCAAGGCGACGAUGUUUAGGGGACCUGAGAGGGUUGUCCCCCACACUGGUACUGAGACACGGACCAGACUCCUACGGGAGGCAGCAGUGAGGAAUAUUGGUCAAUGGGGCGCAAGCCUGAACCAGCCAUCCCGCGUGCAGGAAGACGGCCCUAUGGGUUGUAAACUGCUUUUCCAGGGAGAGAAACUUACGCACGUGUUGCGUGACUGACGGUACCCUGGGAAUAAGCAUCGGCUAACUCCGUGCCAGCAGCCGCGGUAAACACGAG
rnacentral:rRNA from 1 species